rnacentral:tRNA from 1 species
GGCUUGUUGGUCUAGGGGUAUGAUUGUUGAUUUGGGUGAGAGGGCCUGGGUUCAAAUCCCUGAUGAGCCU